UGCCUAACCACGCUUGGGACUGCAUUUCUCUUUCGGUUUCACUUUUGUACUUGCUGGAUAGACUGCUGCCACACCGGCUGGCUAGAUUGCUCUUAUCUUUUGGCUGUUUUUCUUUUCUUUCUUUCUUUUUUGCUUUCUAUGGUGAUUUCAUGAGAGCCACGUUAACAAGGGCCAGUGGAAAGCUCAGUGGGUGAAAAAAACCUUGCUAUACAAGACUUGGUCGCAUUCCUAGAAUCCACAUUGAAGGAGAGAACCAACUUCCUACUGCUAUCUUAUAGUCUCCAUGCGAGAAGAAAAACUUUGGAUACCAUCAAAAUUGAUCAAGAUUAGAGUUGAAAAAGACAACCCUCUUGACAAGGACAACUGACUGGUAUUUACUGAGUUAUAUCUCAUAAACUAAAUAAAAGCCUCCCAAAGGAAAGGAAAAUGCUUUGUUUUUAUCUUCACAGGAAAACUGAUCUCCAGAAGUCCAAGAAUACUAUAUGAGUAGAUACUUAAGAAAACAAGGUAGCUAUAACCAUCAAACAAAAGGAACAUGCCAUAUGGUAAACUUUACAGCUGUCUCUCAAAUAACUCUGUUUCUCUUCAUUUCCUAGUUCCUAUUCAAGUAAAUAAAUGCUGGAUUUAGAGUUGGAUUUGUCUUUCCUCCCCUAAAAUCUAAACAUGUUGUUUAACUAAACUUUUCAGUUUCUGUAUUAUAUCAAGAAGCCAACUGAUGUAAUACAAAAUAAAUUAAGAAUUUGAAGACCAUCUUUUGUCUUUUCUUGGCUCUUUCUUUCAAGGCCUACACCCUCUCAUAAUUGUUGUUUUCCCAUGGUUGCCUUUCCCAGCAUACAUACAUAUGCAAGCAAACAUUUCUCUGCUAACACUUAUGUUUGAGUCCCAUACAGCCAAUGAAGACCCGCCUUACAACAAUCCCUGGACGCUGCGGAAAUGGAAUUGGGCCAUACCUCCUGGACUGCACUGGAUCCAACUUACUCCAUUUCAACUGACACUCCAGCCAGAGCUUCAAGUACUGGCUUCAGUCAAGUUGAGGAUUUCAACCUAGAUCUUCAAUCAAGCAAACCCCAUCUAACAUGGACUGGAGAUAACCCAUUAGAGACUUUCACUAUACUAACAUUUUCUUCCCACAGGACCCCACAAGGCUACCAUCAUUCCAUUUCAGCAGGAAGUAACUUGGAAGAUGCUACACCCCUUUUCCCCAUUAUUGUCUAUUAGGGUGGUGUAAGCCUAGUUAGGAAUAACUUUCCUAUUGUUUAGGGUUGGGAUUGGAAGGAGGUGUUCAGGUUGGACACCCCUUUCAGAUAACUUUAUUGCUUAGCUGGAAUAGACACAGUUAGGAAGUGCAAUAGCAGAUUAUUGUAUCUUCUUGUAUUUCACCUUUAUGAUUAUUAAUUUUGCAUGUUUUCACCAUUAAGUUUUAAUCCUCUUUUAGUCUAAAAGGGGAAUUGUAGGGAGACAACAUAACCACACUUUCUAAGAGCUGGCUACAGGUGUGCUUAACCACUCCUGCCAGGGCUUGGUCUGGAUGAUGCGUGGAGAGUUCUUAAAGUGUGGCAGGGAUGUGGGAGCUAUCUCUCUGGCCUCCCUAGCUUGCUGCCUCUGGGCUCGCUCUGGCUUGUGCUUGGCCAGUAUUAUUUAAAUAAAGAUAUCUUAACCUGCAAUCUCUCAGUACAGUUUCCUUUAAAGAAUCAUUGCUUAUUUCUCACAUUAGAAGGAGGCAUUUGCAAUUUCAUCCUUUUUAAUAAUCUGUAAAAUAUUUUAUGCUUAUGAUAUGUACACCAACUUGUUUUCUUAUGGGAAGAUUUAUUAUGGUGGAAGAUAUGAAGUUUAGUGUACCAAUAAGUCUUUACUCCAAACUGCCCAAGCCCUUCAGGCACAUGGGCGCUUUCUGCCAGGCUCCCAAGUUCUGCCCGACGCCAUGUUAGAGUUCCAAGUAACACACAGAGACUUAUAUUAGGUACAAAUGCUUCUUGGCCAAUGACUAGGAUUUCUUAUAUGCUAGGUAAGUCUUAAUUAUCAUAAAUCUAUAUAUUUUAUAAGACUUAUUUUAUGUAAGACACCUUCCACUAGCAUCCUCAUCCUGGAAUUACAUGGUGGCUCAGAGCAGAGAGC
rnacentral:lncRNA from 1 species